ensembl:rRNA 5S_rRNA 5S ribosomal RNA
UAUAGUUGUAACACCCUGAACCUGCCUUAUCUUAGCUGAUCUUUGAAGCUAAGCAGCGUUGGACCUGGUUAGUACUUGGAUGGGAGAAAAGUGAAAACAUUCAAGUCCUGGACACUUCAAUGU